CUUGCCUCUCAAGAUGAGAAGUGGCAGCUCUGAUUCUUAUGUUUUUCAUAGUGGCCUUCCAUGGGCAGUUUCAUUUAUGAUUCCUCUGCCAAAAUCAUUUUGAAGGCCAUUGAGUGGGUCCUCAUGUGUACUGAGCUGUAAGUAAUGGUUUUCUGUCUUUUUCCUUUCUGUCAACUGUUAGUUCUGGUGUCAGGAUGCCUGCUCCUAUACCUUUCCUCUUUGUUACUUUUAAUCUCUUAUAAUUCAAGAAUUCUAAUAACAAAAUAGUUAGAAAUGCAUUUAAGUGAAUAAAUAAUGCUCUUUGAUUGAAGUGCAAUGGCUUUAGUACCCCAGCUUUGUAAUGACUCUUUCAGUUGUUCUGCAUUCUUUUUUUAAGAUUUCCUGAUUCUUGACUGCAUUCUGGUUCUGGGAACUGGCCAAUUGGGGUGUUACCAUGGAGGGAUUUUUGGAGAUGGACAAAGGCAUCAUGAAGUAAAAUGCAAUAGCCAACUGUGUGUUUUUGUAACACUUUUGUCAAACAAAACUGUCAAGUCUUCAAAAAUCAGGUUUAAUCAUGUUCAUUAAGUACUCACUUUUUAAAUAGCAUUAUGACAAAUUUGUUUGAAAGAUAAACAAUAAAAUCUGUUACCUUGUCAGCAACUAAAUAUUUAACAUGCUGCAGAAUAGAUUACAGUAACCAUAUUUUCCAGAUGUUUUUUGAUGAGAAAGUAAUUUUAAAGCGAAAACUAAAAGGUUCUUUCAACGAAUUUUCAUUUCAGUGAAGAGCACUGUGUACAACCUAUAUAUAUUUAUACAAAAGACUGUUGUGUACAACUUUGUAUAUAUUUACUAUCUAUAGUGAUAACUGUUCCCAACCAUAUACACCAUUCUCACACCCAAGUAUAUAUUUUAUGUGGUACUUUAAAAUCAAAUUUUAGCUCUAUAGUAGUGAAAGGAAUUACCUCAUUCUUUCAACAUUUGACCAAAAUAUAAUCCACACAGAGAUUUUUUUAAAAAUAUGCAUAUUAAAAAGUAUAUUUAAUAGAAUUAUGUGUACUGUGCUAUGAAGACAUUUGGAAAGGCUGCAUGUCAAUAGAUAUUCAAAGACAAAGUGGCGGGGCUGGAGAUGUGGCUCAAGCGGUAGCGCGCUCGCCUGGCAUGCGUGCGGCCCGGGUUCGAUCCUCAGCACCACAUACAAACAAAGAUGUUGUGUCCGCCGAAAACUAAAAAAUAAAUAUUAAAAAAAAUUUAUUAAAAAAAAAAGACAAAGUGGCAUUUGAUUCUGUUUUUUUUCUGUUGUAUAAUGUAGCUGCUGGUGUGUUUGGCAUUUACAACCUUCCGUUUCUGAAGAGAAAUUAUUUUUAAAUAUGUAUAGAUGACAUAUGAAUGUUAACCCAUAAAAAGGGAGGGUAAGGAGGCAAAGUAUAGAAGUUUAUUGGGUUAGACAAAGGAGAAUGAAGGGAAGGGAGAGCAAAUGGGAAUGGGAAAGACAGUAGAAUGAAUCAGCCAUAGCUUUCCUAUGCUCAUCCAUGAAUCCAUCAUGAGUGAAACUCCAUAUCAUGUACAACCAAAAUAAUGGGAUCCUAAUUAGAAUGGGUUGUACUCUAUGUAUGUAUAAUAUGGCAAGGUAUACUCAACUGUCAUGUAUAUCUAAAAACAACAAAUAAAAAAGAAAAAUAUUUAUAGAGAAAAUUAUACAGCUAUUCUCAAGUGAGAAUGUAAUUAUAUGAGCAGAGAAACAUGGGUAAGUAGCAGCAUUGCUUCUGACUAGAGAAGAUAUGACCAACAUCUGUAGCUACAUAAGUAAGGGAAUAUAUUUUUGGUAUGAGAUUGAUAGAUGAAGGUUGGGAACAGAGAGUUAAAGGUUUAGGGGGAAAAAAGGUUUGAGAAGUAUGUGACAAUCUAUUGCAGAGAUUUGGGCUCAUCCAUGUAUAUUGAUAAAGUUUGUUUGAAACCUGUUGUUUCUGUUUUCAGGUCUCAUCAGUCAUAAUAUAUGUUUGGUUUUCUUAGUCUUAUAAAUUUUAAGAUUACUUGUUCAGAAGCUACAGCCUACUGUACUAUUUUUGUUUAUGUGCUGAGGUAAAGACAUAAGAAACCAGUGUGUCUUAAACUUUCUAAGUUUGUAUUAUUGAAGUUAGAAGUCUGGGUUUAGAAAUACAUAAGUUGAAAUACAUGUUAACUGCAUAGUUUCUGCAACUUGGGAUUGGUUUUAUAUUGUAUUUACCCAAUAACACUUUUUGACUUUGGUGUACCUAUGAAGUUAAUGCUGCCUUGGUGGAAAGUUUAAAUAGACAGUGAUUUCUCUCUGGCUGGUUACUAUAUGUGCUGCAUACUAUUCAGUUAACAUAAAAUAGGGGGCUGAUUUGAUAUUUAGACAUAUAAAAUAUCUGGUUCAAUAAUGUUUUCUUUUAAUAAUUAAAGUUUUCUUUGGAGCUUAGGGCAGGAUUGUAUUUUGUGGAAUUGAGGUUGUUGCUUUUUUAUUUCUUUCAUUUAUUACCAUGUAUAGUUCUUUUUACUCCAUCCUCAUUUUUUUCCUCCCUGAUUGUUACCGCUGUUGACCGUGACGAGUCCUUGCUUCCCCAAUGUUGAAGAAUAACACCCGAGAAGCACGCUGAGGCAAGAUCAGAGUAGAAAUUAGAAGUUUAUUAAAGGACAGCAGAAAAGACUUCUCCGGGAGGAAGAAGGGGACCCAAGAGGUGGAAUCCGUGUAAGUGCCGUUGUUUCCCCUUUUUAUAGUUCUUUCAGUGUUGGAAUGUAGGUUGGAAGGCCCGAGGGGUGGGACACAGGUGGGCCAAAGAACUAAUCUGGGCAGGAAGGACUUCAUUAACACCUCUUUGGGAUGGGCUAUCUUCAAAUCUGCUGGGGCUGUUCAUUAAAACUUCUUUGGGAUGGACUUUGGGCCUAGGGCUUUUCUUGGGACUUCAUUAACAUUUCAAGAGUUGCUCAACAUGGCCUCCAUUUUAGAUUUCACUCGAUAUUAGACCCCAUUUACCUAACUACACUGACUGCCUAAUUUUAAAUCUGGCUUCAUGAUGUCAUUUUGGAUAACUGAGGUGGUAGUGUAGUGCAUUGUUUUCUUAAGUCCCCUAAAUCCAUCUUAUUUUGGUAGUUAAAUAUGACUCUCUAAAAGUGACAAUGGAGGAUUGAGGGAAUGAUUCUCUUUUUAAAAAAUUUAUUUAUUUUUUAGUUGUAGUUGCACACAAUACCUUUAUUUAUAUGUGGUGCUGAGGAUCAAACCCAGGGCCUUGCACAUGCUAGGCGAGUGCUCUGCCACUGAGCCACAACCCCAGCCCUGAGGGAAUGAUUCUUAUAGACAUCUGUUUUAGAGCAUUUGUUUCUUGAACUAUAGUUAUAAGCAUAAAAACGACAUAAUUAAGUCUACAUCAUACUUAUCUGCUUGCUAAUUCUGUGGUACAUUUUGUCAUAAGUAACCUGUAACAAUUAUUAAUGAAACAUAGCACUAUGUAUAUGAUGCGCUUGUUUUUAUUUCACAGAAAAAUAUUUGCGGGGGGACAAAGGAAAAAAUAUCUUGGCAGUUCCAAACAUUGGUAAUACGCUAGAAGAACUCAUGGGACAAAGUAUAUCAAUGUACACAUGGCUAGGUUUAUUACAGAAAAAUGAUACACAAUGGGGUCAUCAAGGGAAAAAGACACAGGUGGAACUGGAUAAAUCCAGGCACAGUCUUCCCAUGCUGUCUUCUUCCUGUGAGGGAACACACAGCCUGCUCCUUUCUCCAGCAGUGAAAAAUGCAGUAUUAAAUGUGCUGUGUUUUGGCCAAAGGAAGACCAUUAGAGACUCAGCUUCCAAGGUUUUUAUUGGAAGCUAGUCACAUAGGCAUCCUCUGCCUAGCAACUACAAAAAUUCCAGACUCCCCAAAGGAAAGCAAGUGUUCAUCAUAAAUCACAUUGUACAGUGUAGGGAUAGCAAACCAGUCUUAUCAGUCCAGGGGAUGAUUAAAUGCCAAAUUCCCAAAUGCAAGCCAAGGGCCAACCUUGCAAGUAAGUCCUUCUAAAGACAGCUGCCUCAGACCUGCUGUGUUAACUCUUCUCUGUACUGUCCAUCCCCAGAGCCCUUGCUACCAACUCUUUACAAUAUGUAGUCAUCAAUAGGAGUCCAUGGGGCAUGGUCAGACCAACUUGCAGUAUUGACCUCAGUCAGGCUGUCCAUGGGGUCCUCAAUUUAGCCAGUGAAAGCAAAUUCCAUUAACCACAAGGUCUAUCUUAAAUUUCCUUAUGAAUCCUUUUUUUAUACUUGUCCUGAGGCAUCAAUAGACACAGCACAACUCUAGUCAGUCCAUUGAAGCUGAACUGAAUGCCUUCUAGGCUGAGGCAGUGUUCUGAUAGCAAGCACACAUUAGAAGUCCAAUCCCCGAGGGCACAGGUGGUAUCCCUGGAAACAAAGAGUUUAUAAAUUGUUACGGUACCUCAAGCAGGACAUGCAUUAUAUAUUUUAUUAAAUUUCUUACAAAACUUCCCUUUUAUUUCUUUUAAUCUAUAAUUUUAUGGAGUUUAUCUUGUGUUCAUUGUCAUUGCAAUAAUUACUAAUCUAUUUAUGGUUAGAACUUCGCCUUUAAAGUCAUUUUUUUCUACUUCUUUCUGCAGGAUUAUCAUUGGUGAUUGAGAGCCUCUUUUCCAGCAGUUUUACAGCUAUUUCUUUUAUGUAUGCAGUUCAUUAAUUCUUUACCAAACUUCAAAUCAUGAGCAUUGCAAGCACCAUUUUGUACUCUGGGUACACAAUGAUCAUAAUGCUGAUUUUCUUCUUUUUCACAGGUAACUGCAGAAUUACUUAGUAUGUUUCAGAUUCUCUAAAGAGUCUUGGAGACAUCCAUAAUGUAAUAAGCAUCAAUUAACAAUUAGUGGAAGGAAUAGGGAACAGAGUCAUCAUGUUCAUUUUUAAGCUUUGGGCAUCAAAGAUUACAAAGCCUGGGGAACUGGAGGGACCUUAUGUACUUAGCUGUGAGACUGUCCCUUGUGAAUCUUUUUAAGCAGUAGGGAUGUGUUCCAAAGCACAGAAAGGGUUAUGUGUAAUCACCUUUGAACAGCCUCCAAGCAUAAAAAUUAACCAACUUGAAUAACUUUUAAAUUAUAAAAUUAGAUUAAUUAAAUCUCUGGUCAUAUAAGUAAUUAUAUGUGAAGACAAGAUGUAUACUUGUCAGGAUUAUUCAUUUGAGCAUAUUAUUUGGGUUCAAAUGUGGUAGAAACUUUUGUUGAGAUUAGUGCUUGAAGCAGAUGAAAAAAUGGAAUAUUUUAUAAAAUGGUUCAGUUGGAGAAAUAAUGAAGUUGGAGAGCUUUAAGACCUUCUGAACAAAAUGAAACAGUUUCUUCUUGCCUCACUUUUAAGUUCUGGUUCUAGUUCAAGUCAUACCACUUGCAUAGAUCACACUGGAGAAUGUUUAAGUAUUUUCUUUGAUUUAAAUGUAAGGUUCAGGGGCUGGGGUUGUGGCUCAGUGGUUGAGCGCUUGCCUACACGUGUGGGGCCCUGGGUUUGAUCCUCAGAACCACAUAAAAAUAAAUAAACAAAAUAAAGGUAUAUGUCCAUCUACAACUAAAAAAAUAUUUAAAGAAAUGUAAGGUUCAACAAAUACAUAAAAAUUAACAAUGAAGGCUGGGGUUGUGGCUCAGUGGUAGAGUGCUUGCCUAGCAUGUGUGAGGCACUGGGUUGCAUCCUCAGCACCACAUAAAAUAAAUAAAUAAAAUAAAGGUAUUAUGUCCAUGUACAACUAAAAAUUACCUAAAAAUAUUAAUUAUGAAUAUUUCUUAGAAAUCCAAGCUGUAAGACAAAUGUCAACAUUAUUCGAGAAGCUAGGUAUCUUACCAGUGCUUCUUUUUAGAAGAUAACACAUGGAAUAUGGAUUGCCUUUUAUGUAUUAUUGGUCUCAACUCUUAGAAAAGACUAUACAGGCCUCUUGUCAUCUCUUGGUUGCCCAAAGUUUUAUUUACAACCAAAGGCCAGAGAGCUUCUCACAAUUCUAGUCUAACAAGGCUGCUUGUGUUUGAUUUUAGCCUUUUAUUGAAAUAUGCAUACACAAAAGCACAUGCAACCUAAGUGUACAGCAUGAUGGGUCAUUAAAAAGUGAGCCACCUUUGUAACUAUUGUUCACAUCCAUAAACAAUACAUGAUCAUUAUCCCUGAAGCCACUGCUGGGCCUCCUUACAGUCGUCUUCCACAAGGGCAAACACUACUACCCUGGCUGUUGAUAGAAUGGAUUAAUUUGGCCUGUAUUUCAUUGCAUAUAAAUGGACUUACAUACAUUACAUGCAUAUUUACAUACCUAUACACAGAAAGACAUGCUCUUUUAUAUCUUUUUAAAAUUUUUUAUUUGUUUUAAUUAGUUAUACAUGACAGUAGAAUGCACUUAUAUACUUUGAUAUAUCAUACAUAGAUGGGAUAUAAUUUCUCAUUUUUCUGAGUAUACAUAUUGUAAAAUCACAUUGGUCAUGCAGUCACAUACAUACAUACAGUAAUAAUGUCUGUUUCAUUCUACUAUCUUUCUUAUCCUCACAUCUCCUGCCUUCCCCUCCUUUCACUUCCCUCUACCCCAUCUAAGGUAAUGCUAUUCUUUUUUCUUUUUUCUUUUUGCAUUACAACUUUUAAUACACAUAUAUGCCACAAUUUUUGUAUCUCUGUUUGUAUAUAAAGUAUGUUGAUACCCAAUUCAAGUCUUCAUACGUGUACUUUGUAUAAUAUCUGGUUUCUUUAGCAGCUGGUUUCUUUCUUUCAAUAUGGCUUGUGAGAUUCAUCUAAAUCAUCAUGUGUAGAUGUAGUCUGUGUUUCUCAGAUCUUUUGUUUUGGAUCCCCUCCAUCCAACAUGGUGAGUUACUGGCUUUGAUAUUUAUGUAGUAUAAAAUUAGAUAUAUAGUAGUUCCCCCUUGUCAGUGGAGGAGACAUUCAAAGACCCCCAGUGAAAAAAAAAAAAGACCCCCAGUGAAUGCCUGAAACUAGGUAGUAUUGAAUACUACAUGUAUACUAUGUUUUUCCUCUUUAUCUACAUUCUUUUUUAAAAAAUAUUUAUUUUUUUAGUUGUAGUUGGACAUGAUAUCUUUAUUUUAUUUAUUUAUAUGUGGUACUGAGGAUUGAACCCAGGGCCUUGCAUUGCUAGGCGAGCGCUCUACCACUGAGCCACAACCCCAGCCCUAUCUACAUUCUUAUGAUAAAGUUUAAUUUAUAAAUCAGACACACUAAUAGAAUUGAUUCAAAUUGUUUAUUUCUGGAGUUUUCCACUGAGUAUUUUCAGAGCAUAGUUGAUCACAGGUCGUUGAAGCCACAAAAAGUUAAAGCACAGAUAAGAGGCAACUACUGCAUUAAGCACAAUCAUUUCAGGCUAUGUUUUCUUCAUUACCCAACACUUUGGCUCAGAUUGCCUUUUUCCGGUAGUCUUAUAACAGGUUCUUUUUUCAAAAUAGAUGUAAUCUUCAGUGGUCACAUUGCCAACAAAAAUCUUUUGCCAUUGGUUGGCUUCAUCGCAGCAUUCUAGUUUCUGACACCACACUAUGCUGAAUACUGACCUCAAAGAUCAAUAGUGAUCUCUUGAUAAAGUUAGUGGCCUUUCACUAUUCCUCACCCUCCUUGGCUUCUUUAAUUAAGACAAUGUAACACCUGUGGAAUUCUUUCAAUAUCAUUUGCAUUAUUGCAUUAUUCUCUAUGUUCUACUCUGUGCCUUCUCCUGUUUUCCUUCCUGUUCCUGUCACUUAACUCUAGCUUUUAUUAUCAUUUCAGUCCUUCCUUUCUAUAUUCUCUGUCUUAGAACUCAUUCAGUAUCAUGACUUCACUAUUUUCAAUGGUGACUGCUCCCAAAUUUGUAUCUUUAGCCAUAACCUCUAUCCAGCUGUAUCCUGAACAUUUUCAUGUUCCAGUGGUACUGCAAACUCAACAUGACCCCUGAAGAUGAAGUUAGGAUUUCCUUUCCUCCAAAUUGCUUAUCUUCAUAUCUUUUAUCUUUGACCAUCAUUGCUAAUCUCUGAUCUUCUUAGCUUAUUUUGAAGGGUUUCUUAAUAAACCCUUCUAUAAUUUAUAGCUAAUAAGCAUAAUUUCCCUAGUUACUUUCCUUAGGAAGCUUCUUAUCUGUUACCAUUCCUUUCUUUUUCUUCUUCGACAAGAUUGGUCUAGGUCUUUAUUCCCUUUUGCCUAGAUUCCUCAGAUUGCCUCCUAUUUAGUUUGCUGCACUGUAUUCUCUCCUUUUGUGUGUGUUACUGGGGAUUGAACCCAGAAGUUUUCUACCACAAAACUACAUCCUCAGUCCUUUUUGUUUAUUUUUAUUUUUAUUUUGAGACAGAGUCUCACUAAGUUGCUGAGGCUAUCUUGAACUUGUAAUCCUCCUGCCUCAGCUUCCUGAGUUGCUAGGGAUACUGGUAUGCACCACCCAUGUCUCUCCUUUUCUAACCCACUCUAUGAGUGGCCUGCUACCACAUAAACCUCUUUAUUUUUUGUAUAAUAGUACAAUUAAGACCAAGAUUAAUUUUUAACAGGUCAUCACAUAUUUAAAGCAUGUUCACAGAGUGCCAGAUACAUGCUAGGUUCUUGAGAUCUGUUGGUGAAGAAGACAGGUAAGUUGCCCUGUUUUUAUCAAUCUUAUAUUCUACUGGAAGGGAGAUAAAAUAAACAUUGUAGAUUUGGUGAACUUUUAAAAAGAAGUGAUAUUGAUGAAGAAGUGCAUAGUCAAAUAUUUCAAGUAGAGGUGAAAGUAUGUUCAAAAGCUCUGAAGUGGGAAGGAGUUUGACAUCUUCAGAGAAUAUGGAAAAGUUGAAGAUGGUAAGGUGGGAGAGUGGCACAAGUGUCAAUAGUGAUGUUAGAAGAGAAGAAGUGGUCAGAUCAUGUGACAAUCUUGUAAUCUAUAACAAGGUUGAAUUGUAGAACUGAUGGAAGUUGAGGGGGUUUAAAUAGGAUGAUAAUGCAUUCUUCUUAUUCUAAAAUUUUAAUAUCAUACUUCCUUCUCAAUAAAGAUCUAAACUCACCUUAGUGUUUGGGGUCCUCCACAGUGUAACCUCACUCUGAUACUCAAUGUAUUUUCUAAGACUCUUAAAGUUGAAUCAUUCAUUAAGUUCAGACCUCUCUUCUUUUGACUUUUUCAGCAUAAGUGUCCCUAACUAGACACAAUAGUUCCUUGACAGCAGGAACUAUUGAAACUGUUUUGUGUCCUUCAGAGUGCUAAGCACAUGGUUUUCCUUGAAUUGCAGUGAGUAAGGAAAACAAGAGAUAUCACCAGGGUAUUGUGUUUCCUUAUGUAUUCUAAAAUUAAAUUAUGGGUGUGGAAAUCUCCCAAGUAUAUUAUGGCUACCAUUCAUAUUAUGAAAAAACUAGUAAAAUCAUGAAGUGUGUUUUUGACAUCUGUUUUCCAGAACUGUUCCUUAAGAAGCCUUGUCAGCUUACAGAGUCUUAAAUGGCAUCUAUGUACUUUUUGUCAUUAUAUUUCCACAGCAGGAAGCAAUGCUUAUUAUGUCAUUGCAUUUUUGAGGAAGAAGUCCUAUUUUUGUGGUUUUGUGGUAAACCCAGGGGGGCUUUACUACUGAGCUACAUCCCCAGCUCUUUUAUUUUAUUUUAAAUUUGAGGCAGGGUUUCACUAAGUUGCUGAGAUUGGCCUGGAACUUUCAAUACUCCUGUUUCAGCCUCCUGAAUCACUGGAACUACAGGUGUAUGUCACUGAGAUUAUAGGUGUAUGCCACUGCACCCAGGAAAUAAGCCCUUUAAUAUUUAGACUUGGUAAUAUAGUUGUGCACAAAGUAUAAUUAUUAAGUGCUGAUUACUUUUGCUUGCUGUAGACAAAUGAUUUUUUUUAAAUUUUUUAGUUGUAGAUGGACACAAUACCUUUAUUUUGUUUAUUUAGUUUUUAUGAGUGCUGGGGAUCGAACCCAGGGUCUCACAAAUGCUAAGCAAGUGCUCUACCACUGAGCCACAACCCCAGCCCCCAUAGACAAAUGUUUUGAGUGAUUUUUUAAAACAAAAUGACACCUUUAAAAUUAGCAAUAUCUACCUAUGUAAAAAUUGCUGAGGAGUUUCACACUUAUAGAUUCACACUUAUUGAGAAUAAUUAUGCAUUCACCUAAUCUAACACUUUUCCUUGUGGCCACCACACUCCUCUUUGGUGCUUGAGUUCAUCUAUGGCAUCACAGCAGAAAUGUAGGACUUUGAAACUGUCACUGUGAAGCACUAUGAAUGUAGGAAGACACUUUGUUUAUGUAGUAAAUAUUUUCCAUGUUACUACAUAUCCUUCAUAUUUAUCAUCUUGUAGCUGCUUAAUCCAUUGAGAAGAUUUCCUAAUUGCUCCUUCACUUUUAAACCAUUUUUUAUUGCCAAUUUUGAAUUAUUUCCUUAAGAUAGUCUGUGAAGUAGGAUGGCCAUCAAAAAACAUUAAUACUUCUAUGGCUCUUUAUGCUUUCUAGCCAUCAAUAGUGUAUACCAGUUUUACCAUGGUCUUGGCUGGCUUUGAGUAUUAUUUUCCAAAAUAAAUAGCAGUUUUCUUUCUUUCUCUUUUCAUCUAGUGUGUCUAAAAUGGCACCCCAUUGUUUCCUUUCUCUCAUUUUUGGAGCCAAGGGAAGUGAUGUGCACUGUGGCUUCUCUAUCCAAUUUUCAUUUGAUAACACACUUACAGAUGUAUAAUGCCAAGUCAAAAUAGGACUCAGGUGACAGGGAGAGGAAGCAGAAACCACAACCCCUACCAAGAAAGGGUACUAGAAGAGAAACCUUGUACUUCUAGAGGUAAAUUAAGUUCAGUUAAGGUUGGAGGACUUACCCAAAUUCCAACUGGUUUUCAUUGAACUAGUUUGAUAGUUGCUCUUUUAUUUGUAUCAUGUUUUAUUUUAGAUAUUAACAAAUAAAUUAAGGUCUUGAGAAAACUAAUUGAAAUAAUAUUUCUAUUUUGAUGUAAGAGAUGUAAAAUCACAAUAAGCAGUUGAGUUUCCUUUGUCUUAAAGCCCAAUGCUGUCUUGUGUUAUAAUGAUGAAGUUUAUAGCAGUAUAAACUUUUGUUGACAUUGCUAUUGUGUGGUAAAUUAAAUAUCUUAUGAUGAUGAUAUAUAUUUUAGGCAAGUAAUUUGCAUUUAGCGGUAUUCUAUUAUUCUAGAGCAGUGGUUCUUGACCAGGGAUGAUUUGCUCUCCAGGGAACAUUUAGAAAUGUCUGGAGAUAUUUUUGAAUGUUGUGGUGGCAGAUGCGAUGACAUCUAGUGAGUAGAGGUCAGGGACAGUGUUAAACAAUUCUACAGUGUACUAAACAGCUUCCACAUAAAGAAUGAUAUGUCCCAAUCUUCAGUAGUGCCACUGUUAAGAAACCCUGGUCUAGAGUGUACUAUUUUUGAACCUCACAUUUACUUGGGAGGUAAUGCUAUUUUCAAAAUACAAUUUUGAUCAUUUUGAGACAUUGUGUUUCUAAACUGAGACUCUUAACCACCAAUCACUGGGCAGUGAUUAAAGUCAAUGUGAUACAAAGAGCUUUUAAUACCCAGAAGAAGUAUUGGGCAAGUGUAGAGCACUUUUCUGUUGGCUUUCUCACUGUCUGUGCUUUGAAUAUAUUUUUAUUCAUUAAAAGAAGCUAAUGAAGUUCAAUAUAUUUUGAGAGACUCUGCUGCAUAAUAUUUUAUCACUAAAUUAAAGUGAAGAAUCCUUGUUCUCACACAGAGCAAGAUGAAAUAUAGUACACUGAAGGAAAUGUCCAAUUAUCUUAACACAAAUGUUAGCAAUAAUGGGCCUUUUGUGUUUUAUUAUACCAAGUUGUUGCUAGCUCUACCUUAUUAAAAUUUUCAGUUCAGAAGACAGAUCCAAAAGAGAUAGAGAUAUAUUAAUGCUAAUCAUUAGCCAACCAACAAGCAUUUAUUAAGCUUCUUUUAUGAGCCUGGCGAUGUACUAAUUGAGAAUAUGGAAACAUUAAAAUAUGAUAUUAUUUGGUUUUUAUUGAGUUGACUAUAUGUGAGCUAUUUGCUUAUAUUUAUCUAAUUUAAUUAUCACAAUUAAUAUAAGGGUAGGUCACAUUACUUUUAUUACAUGGAUGAGGAAACUGAGGCCCAGAGAGUUGAUGUUCUAGGUCACUCAGCUAGUAAGUGAUGGUGCCAUGAUUCAUUCACACCCAAGUUAGUUUGGCUCCAGAGUUCAUUCUCUCAAAUAUAACUCUAUAUCCUCACCAAGAAAGGCAUUUUAUCUGAGCUGGAGCUAAACCAACAACCAGAGGAUGCCUAUGGAAUAUAUUCUGUGGUCCUCUAUUUGUCCAGGUGGACUACUCUCCCCACCCCCUCCUCCUUUUGUACUCCUGAGGAUUGAAUCCAGGGGAACUCUACCACUGAGCUAAAUCCUCAGGUGUUUAAGUUUUUCUUUUUGAGAUAGGGUCUCACUAAGUUGCCCAGGCUAGUCUUGAACUAAGUUGCCAUCCUAUUGCCUCGACCUUUCAAGUAGCUGGCAUUACAAGUGUGCACCACUAUGCCUGGCCAGGUAGACUGUUCUUAAUUAGAGGAAUUAAGACUGGAACAUGUGAAGCAAUACAAUAUCAUCCUCAGAAAUAUAUGAUGACAAUAGAAUAUCUCAAGUCUUUCCCAUGACCUCUCAACACUUCUUUAAAAAAAUAGAGGGAGUCUUUCCAUUUUUCUACAUUAUUCUAGGAUCAAGAGGGUCAAAUAUAUUUUAGAGGUAUAUAACCUCUAAAAUAAUUCCAUUACUUCUUCAAUUAUAGAUCAUUUUUAUUUUGGCUUACAUUUAUGAACCAAAGAAAGUACUGAAUUCUGUAGGCAAAUACGACACAGUUGUCUAUAUUCUAAAGGAUACGGAAAAUGUCUGGGUCAUAUUAUUUUUCUCAGGGCAAGUAGUUAUAGACCUAUUCCAAUUCUGGGCCUUAUGUUGGCCAGUAUUCUUCUGCUUUUGAGUAUCAUACCACAUAAUUUUCAAAGGAAAGGAAGAGUUCUGUUUCCCCAGAGGUAAGCAGAAGCUGUUCUCUGGCAUUAUCUUACUGUUCGCUUCACAUUUGCUAGCAUCUCAUUCCUGGGUUGGUUUCUGCCACCUCUACUCCUAGCUUUUCUUGCCCAAUUGAUAUUUAUUCUUUGAGUUUUUCUGCACAAUUUGAUUCCUGAUCAUCUCAGCUCCAUUCUAGAACAACCAGGGGCAGAACUGCCUUUGAGUCCCAGCUGUACUGCUUAUUGGUCAUAUGGUCUAAGUCAAAUCACUUUAUCUUUCUGAGCCUGUUGUUUCCUUGUGGAAUAAGAAAAAAAUAAUAGCACAUACCUUAUAAAAUUCAACUCGAUGUCCUCACAUACAUGAAGCAUUCAACCCACAGUCAGGCAUAUAGAAAGUAUGUAGUAAAUAACAAUAUAAUAACUUUCUUCUUCCUCCUCCUCCUUUUCUUCCUCCUCCUCCUCCUCCCCUCCUCCUCCUUUUCUUCCUCCUCCUUCUCCUCCUCCUCCUCCUCCUCUUCCUUCUUCUUCAAAUGCAAAUUUGAUCAUCUUAUUCUCUGGUUUAUGUAUCUUCAUGGGCUUCCAGUUGUCUCCAUAUCAAAUCCAGUCUUCUUAACUUUCCCCCAGCGACUGUGGCAGUCUUUUCUUCUAUAUGCUCUCUUUAAUGUUCCUUCAGUUCUCUAUCUCAUAUCCUUAAUGCUCCAACCCAUCUGCCAUGGUUCACAAUGUUUUACAACUAUCAGGGUUUUAAAAAAAUAUUUAAAUCUUAAUGUGUACUCUUCCCUUCUUUUCCCUCUGUAUGAAGUAGCUCUCUCCCAUCCUAAAAUGCUUCUGGACCUAGAUUUAUAGCAUCUUUUCUAUGAUGCCCUCUGUAAAUUUCUGCCAAUAAUUCAUUAAUUCAAUAAAUCUAUAUUGAAUAUCUUCUAGUUGUCAGGCACUGCCCUAGGGGCUGGGACUUUGGAAGUAAAGAAAAUUUUAAAGGGAUAAAAAUCUCAAUUCUCAUGGAGCUUGUGUCAUUAUGCAGUUAAUUUAAACAGCUCAAUAUAACAAACUUAUGUUGUCCACCUACAAUAUGUCCGGCACUUAUGUUAAGCACUGGGGUACAAAACUGAAUCGCUUAAUCCCUUGCCUCAAGGGGGUACUGUAGUUUGGAGAAAGAAGACUCCUAAACAAAUUACUUUCCUGCAGUGUGGUGGGGAGUCUGAUAAAGGUAAGCCCAGGUUUGUUAAUGCACCUAGCCCAAUCAUGGGGAGGAAAAGAGGAUCAAGGGGAGCCUUUUCUGGAGAAAGUGAUAAUUUGAGUCUUGAGAGAAGACUGAGUCUUUUCUUGUGUGAAUGAUGUUGAGAAUGGAACCAAGGGCCUUGUACAUGCUAGGCAAGUGCUUUACCACUGAGCUAUACCCCAGUCCUGAAAGGAGAUUGUCUUAAAAGUAAAAGGCAGAGCAGAUAACUGAAGAAGACAAUAUUAUAUGGAGAUCUGCAGAAAAUUUGGGGUUGUUAGAGUUUAAAUUUUAAGCUGUAGAAUGGCAGAAACAAGUCCUAGGAAAACAGGCAAGAACCAGAUCCUGCAGGGCCUUGUGUACUGACACUAAGGAGUUGGAAUUCUUAUCAAUUAUAAUUGUUGUUUUCAAAUUUAGGUGUGCAUCAGAUUCACUUGUGGAAAUUUCUUGAAAUGAACUAAAACCAAUAAAUCAGUUCCCAGGGCCCUCCCUGAGCUCCUGAAUCAGAAUCCAUGCUGAUUUGUAUUUUUAACAGCUUAAGAAGUUUCCAAUACUCCACAGCUUGAGUAGUUUUGCUAUGGGGAGCUACUAAAGGUUUUUAAGUAAGGGUAUAACAACCAAUUUUUUUUUGACAGAAUGGAGGAUGGAGUUGAGAGGAAAGCUGGAGGUUUUUCAGAUUAGAGAUGAAGAUACAGUGUCUAUGGAGAUGGACACACAGAUGGAGAAGAUGAAUUAAAAAGGAAUUGGAAUUUGCAAUUUUUUGUGACUGACAAGAUUUGGGUGCUAAAGGGAUAGGAUUUAAGGUAACUUCUCUGUCUCUGGUUGUGACCUCUAUAUAAAUAGUGUUAUGAAGUCGUAUAGCCACCAACUGAGAUUAUUC
rnacentral:lncRNA from 1 species